CCUCGUAUUUUCAGUUCCACCCCGACCGAACGGCAGUCCGCCAAAUCCGCAAAACCAGGGCUCCUUUCUCUCUCUAUCCAUCCAAUCCGUCGUUUCAAACCUCGUCUGUAUAAUACGCGGGUCCGAUCCGAAAAUAGUCGCGACCAAAUUGUUGUAUUUUUAUUUUAUUUUUUUCAUUUUUUCCCCUCAAUCAUUUUCUCACUUUACACCCCGUGAUUUUUAUUAUUCGUUUUUCGUCAUACCGUAAUAAUCUUACAUCGAAUAUCGCGUAUAUCGUACACCUCCGAUGUAAAAGGUGUGCAGGAGUUGGAUUGAGAUGCAGGUGAAAAUACUGCGAAUAUUGAAGAUGCGGAGAUGAAGAUGAAGAUUAUUGGGACAAGGAUGAUAACGCUGUGAAUUGCACGGUGUCUGACAAACGGGCAUAGGUCAAGGAAGUGAAAGUGGGGCGUAAUAAAUAACAAUCCUUAUAAAUUGAAGUUAAUCGGCCCACGAUGAUUUUCGGUAAACUAAAAUAUCAUCGAUAAACGAAUACACGUACGAAAAAGAAGAAGAGAUAAAAAAAAAUAAGAAAGACCGAGAAUUCGAGAAUGGUUACGUGCAUAGGUAUAAGCGGCACAUGUGCAAUCUGCACGGCUAUAAUAACCAAUACUAUACAAAAACCUUCGUAUAUAUUUUUAAUAUAAGUACAGUGCGUGGGCGGUUUAUUAAUAAUUCAGGUGUGUAGCAAACUCCGGCAUUGAUCAGUUGCAGUUCACCCCACAUUACUACACUGGAGUAGUAUAAUAAUACAAGUUAGCCCGAGCUUUUAUAACCGUAAUAUAAUUCACCUGGUCAAUAAUUUGCUCCCCUUUUCUAGUUUCUAUUUUUCAAUUUUUCCAUUAUCCGACCCAGAACGUGCGAGAGGACGACUUUAAUUGUCCCUGUUCAAAGAACGAUUAGAUCCGCGAAGUAAACAAAAGGAAGAAGAACAAAAGGAAAACAAUUAUUGUAAGAUGACAGACUGCAACGAGGUGAUAAUCGAUAAUUGUUACAAAAUAAUCGCGCCAUUUUUAAAGCAUUUCGUCAAACGAUUAUUAUUGAUCGAUCGAUUGAUCGUUGCAAAUAUACUGCAGGGAUAAAUUUCUAUACAUCUGAAACCUUCGUCUAUUUUUACGUUAUUUCUACGUUUGUUUUUCUUCCGACUAAUUUUUUAAAACACAUUUUUACGCUGAUUAAAAGAAACAAACAAGAAAAAGAUUUAAAAAGACUUCGACUCAACUUCGAAAGAAAAGAACGAACGAAUUACGACAAAGAUGAAGAAUGCAUAAACAAAUAGACUACACAUACUGUGCCUUCGAUAAUUGAGAACAAAAUGAAAAAAAAAACUACGCUAUUAAUAAUAUUGUUAUCAUCAUUAUUAUAAUUAUUAAUACUUAUGAAUUCAUAUAUCUAUGCGCAUUGCGGUUAUUGCGUAGUUCCAUAAUAUAUACUAUACAUACAUCGCUCUAGCAUCGUUGAUCUACCUAAAAUUAUACCAUUCGUGAAAAACGAGGGAGAAAAGAGAAAAGCGAAAGAAGAAGAAAAAAAAAGGAAAAUAAUAAUUAAAAAAAAUUAAAAUUAUGAACACGCCUAUUUGACGAUACUUAAAUUCCAACUGGUGUCUUAAUUUUUCAUUAAAAAAAACGAGCUACAGCUUUUAAUAUACACUUAUAUAUUAUGUAUGGUUAAAUAUACUGAAUAUAAUUACCACGUACAAUCUGAAUUGCCUAAUAUAAAUGUGUAUGCAUUAUAAAUUAUACAUAAAAAUAAAACUAUUUAGCAUCAGCAGCAAUUUCGAAAAAUUGAAAAAAGAAAAAAAAUCGUAAUGAAAAUUAUUUGCGAAAGACGAUCAAGUGAAUGGGAGGGGGAUGAACGAGAAAUAAUAUAAUUUGUCCAUGUUGAAACAAUUUUCAGUUUUUUCAAUCUAUGUAAAAACGAACGAGGAAAUUCAAUGAAGAAGAAUCUAGUAAUUUCACGGUGAACAAGAGGGAACGAAAAUCAAUAAAGCUAAAACAACAAAGUGAAAGUUGGUACAUAGGUACCUAUACAUAUGUCUAAUGCCUGCACAGGAGAUCGAUAAUGAUUAAUUAAGGUUUCAUAUCCGGCAUCGUUUCCGUGGAAAUGAUAUCUCAAGUGUUUGAUAUAAUUAUCAGUGAUGUUGUCGAUCACUUUGAUGAUACUUUUAAUGAAUUUAACACCUGGGAGUUUUGCUGCGGUCAGGACGGGUCAACUUCGCGUCUGAAUUACCUGCUGGAUUUUCCUCGUGAAUUUCGAUUUUCCGAAUGUGAUUUUUCGAGGUCAUUAACGCCGUCUAUAGAAUUCAUAGGGAGGGUAAAGACCGCCGAUUCCCUUCUCAUUAAAGAACUGCCGCGAACCGAAGUAAAAGGGAUCCUAACAAGCGUUGAUCUUAACUGCCGGAAAAAUCUGAUAGAAUUUACUCAUUUUCCUACGACUUGACGUCUUGUAAAAUAACAACGUUGUAUCUACAGUGAAUCAGAUAAAAAUAACAACAAAAACCACAACUCUUUUUCGCUUAUAUGUCGCAGCAAGUAGAUCUCAUUGUCAGCAUCGAUGUGUGAUAAUAAAAAUGAUACCGGUAAUUAUUACAGUGAGAAACAAGAACAAAAAAGAAAACUGACGUAUACUAAUUAAUUUAAAUAUAUUAAAGAAAGAUAAAACUCAUACAGUACGUCCGUAUAAAACUGAAGAUUAGAGCGCUGUGAUUUUUUGUGACAUCGUUAGAAUACGGAAGUUAUUUCUAUUCCGCGUAUGAAAAAUCAAGAAGGGAAA
rnacentral:lncRNA from 1 species